rnacentral:antisense_RNA from 1 species
GUGAGAGCAAGGCUUGCCCGCGAUGCAGGCGCCUCGGUUCACUUGGGACCGCAUCGUCUUCAUCGCGGGCAAGCCUUGCUCCCAC